UGAGCGCAUACCUGUCAGCAGGUGGCGGACGUGGGCGCGCGAUUGAGUGCACGAGCAGAAAUCAUGGCAGGCGGUGAGAGAGUCGCUCAUCUGAUGCGUCAGCUCGCGAGCGCGGCGUGCAGAUGUCCCGCGCAUUCUCAAGCGUAUUCCCACACUUAUAACCGAGUUUCUGCAGGUGAGGCUCAUAUUUGUGAGAGGAAAACAGACUAUGCAUUUGAAAUGGCUUGUUCAAAUAUCAGAUUUGGAGCAGGAGUUACCAGAGAAAUUGGCAUGGAUUUGCAGAACAUGGGAACACGUAAUGUGUGUCUGAUGACAGAUAGAACCCUGUCUCAGCUGCCGCCGGUUGCUGCAGUGCUGGAGUCACUGACAAAACAUGGAGUCAAAUACAAGAUCUAUGAGGACGUGCGAGUAGAACCAACUGACAAAAGCUUUAAAGCAGCGAUUGAUUUUGCCAAAAAAGGACAUUUUGAUGUGUAUGUUGCUGUGGGCGGGGGCUCUGUGAUUGACACCUGUAAAGCAGCCAAUCUCUAUGCUUCUCAUCCAGAGGCAGAAUUUCUAGACUUUGUCAAUGCACCAAUUGGAAAAGGAAAACCCAUCACAGCCACACUGAAGCCUCUAAUUGCUGUUCCUACAACGGCUGGAACAGGGAGUGAAACCACAGGAGUGGCGAUCUUUGACUUUGAGGACAUGAAGGCCAAAACUGGUAUUGCAAAUAGAGCCUUAAAGCCUACUUUAGGGAUGGUGGAUCCCCUACAUACUCUUCACAUGCCAUCCAGAGUGGCAGCUAACAGCGGGUUUGACGUGCUCUGUCAUGCAUUAGAGUCAUUCACUGCAUUGCCAUAUAACCUGAGAAGUCCCUGCCCACCUAAUCCCAUUAAUCGCCCCGCUUACCAGGGCAGCAAUCCAAUCAGUGAUGUUUGGGCAAGACACGCUCUCAAGAUCGUUGCCAAAUACUUAAAACGGGCGGUGCGUGAUGCGGGAGAUGUGGAGGCUCGCUCCAGCAUGCACCUGGCCAGUGUGUUUGCAGGAAUUGGAUUUGGCAAUGCAGGAGUCCAUUUAUGUCAUGGAAUGUCAUAUCCUAUUGCCGGGAAUGUCAAAACUCACAGGGCUAAAGGAUACAAUGUAGAACAUCCUAUAGUGCCUCACGGACUCUCUGUAGUUCUUACUUCACCUGCUGUUUUUACUUUUACUGCAAACAUGUGUCCUGAGCGCCACCUGGAGGCAGCACAAAUAUUAGGUACUGAUGUGAGUAACGUCAAGAAAGAUGAUGCUGGCCGUGUGUUGGCGGACACUCUCAGAUCGUUUCUCUAUGACCUGGAAGUGGAGGAUGGCUUGUCUGCAAUUGGCUACACUAAAGAGGACAUACCAUCUUUGGUGAAGGGCACCAUCCCUCAGGAGCGGGUAACUAAACUGUCUCCUCGAGCUCACACUGAAGAAGAUCUGACCGCUCUAUUUGCUGCGUCCAUGAAGCUCUACUGAGCUCUUGAAGGACAUUUUAACAUUGUUGAAGUUCACAGCCUCAGAUUAGCUGAUUUCAUUAUCCUGGCUUUCAUUCCCGUCAAAGAUGGCGCUGCUGUGAAUAGGGUCUAUUCACCUUAUCUAUGCACUGGACCACCGCAUCAAAUCUACACGCAGAGCCAUGAAGAGUUUGAAGUGUUCACCACUGUGCUAUCUCCUCAAGUAUGUCGAAAGAGAGUGAUGUUCAAGCACCAAGGAGAAAUGAUGGUUGUGGCAGCAGACUACAGUGCAGACUGUGACGAAGAGGUGUGUGUCCGUGCUGGUGAGGUCGUGUUGCUGCUGUAUCAAGAGAAUGCUGACUGGUGUUACAUCCGACUUCAGAACGGAAAGGAGGGAUACCUGCCUACAGCCUGCUUCACUCCGAAGCAGGAUCCGUUGAGGCCCAUCAUGACUCAGGUGCCGCACAGCUCCAUGCAGGAGUCGUCUAAUAAUCGCAGUGGCUCUGCUGGAGGGCGCUCUCUGAAACUUCUGCGGCGGGCGUCUCUGUCAGGAGUGCCGGGUUCACCUCGAUUACUUCAGCGGCUGCUCUCUCGUCGACGUAGUGACGGACAUGCAGUUCGUUCGAUCGGCUCCAUAAAUCCAGCAUUCAAUCCUGACUGAUGCAUCCACCCUUAGAGCUCCACUUUUCCCUUUUAAAUGGGUCACAGAGCAGCAGAAACUAAGAUAGCAUGACACUAAAAGUUCAGUCCGUACGCAGAUCCUACUUGUGGAGGAAAAAAUGAAAGAUCGGUGUCCUGAUUAGGGGUUGGGGCCUCAGGAACUUGAAAGCUUGUGGGACAGAACCUGCAACUGGUGUCAGGAGUCUUUACUAUUAGGUUACUGCCCCACAUGUAAAUACUUGAUGUAAAUAUUGUGAUUUGAAUUUAAAAGACAUUUGAAUGUCAUUACACUGCAGUUUUAAUGUAAAUUACACCCUUCGCCUAAGAAUAUAUUUGUUUGAAUAUGUAUUUGUUCCGUCUAAUAAUGCACAAAGACUACAAUGAUUUAGAAAGUUACAGAGUUUAAAUUUGAAACGGGUAUGUCUCUAUCUGUGUGUGUGUGUGUGUGUGUGUAUAUAUAUAUAUAUAUAUAUAUAUAUAUAUAUAUAUAGGGUGAAUGUACAACAUUUAGAUUUCCAUUUUUAUUUAUUUAUUUGUUUUCUGUAUGAGCAAUUCAAUUCAUUUAAUUUAAUUUGGGUAGGGUUAAUGUGGAAGCGGAAGAUGCCAGCAGACAAAAGGUUUCAGUUGUUGCCAGUUUUAUUUUUGUUGUUUAUAAAAAUGGAUCGCUGCCCUUUGCAUUAUUUUUGGAGAAUUCACAUGGAAUGAAAUAAUCAUUGUAUUCAUUGUAAUAAUUACUUUUCCCUUGAAAAAGUAAAGUAAGGAAUUACUCUUAAAGGCACAAUAUGUAAGAUUUUUGCAGUAAAAUAUCCAAAAACCACAAGGCCAGUGUUAUAUAUUUUGUUCAUUUGAGUACUUACAAUAUCCCAAAUGUUUCCAACUAUUUAUAAAUCGUGAGAAAAUCGCGAUUUUUAACCAAGGAUACGGGACGUGUCCGGGAGUCACCACAGGCGUCAUAUCUGCGUUACCCUCGUUUCCUGCUUUAUUUUGUAGAAACCAUGGAAACACUAAAGCCGCUUUAAUAUAUUACAUGUUUUAUUAGACAAGGGAACCACUGUUUGGUUACAUUUAUAGACAGAAAACUAAUUAUUGUUAUAUAGCUCAACACGUUUAGUCUUAUUGUUUAAAUCUAGUUUUCUUGAUUUUCCGAGAGUACCAUGCUUUUACCAUGCCUCAGAGAAAAACACUAUUGUGUCAAGUAGCUAAUACAGCAUUUUCUCCAUCAUACAAUACGUUUUAAAAUUAAUUGCAUGCCAUUUAUCAACACAAGCCACCCAACAUAAUGAUAUUCUAAAAUCGAUCUAGCUUACUGCAGUGUGCAGCAGUGUCUCACAGCAGCCGCCGAGCGAACGCACAGAGUAACGUUAUAACAUCAUUUUCAACACACUCAAAUGUAUCUAAUAUGAUAAACAGCGCUGUGUUACCUCAUACGCUUGACCGGAGAAGCGGCUACUGUGGCAUAAUAAAAGUUCCGCUGCUCGUGAGGCGUGUGUCGCGCUCGUCUCUCAUUAGCAAUCGCUCCAGUGGCCUCGGCACUCGGCCCUGCUCUGCUUCAUACUACAGUAACGUUAAUAAUCUCAUCAAUGAACAUGAUUUCUGUUCGAGUCCCAUCCUGAUUCUUUUCCACUGGCUGUGAGGUGAAGACGACAUCUCCCAAGAUUUCACGCUCAAACUCGGCGUCAUCAAGCUACGCCUUUGUUUUGAAUAGGCGACCUCUAGCUGCGAAAAUCUACAUAUUGUAGCUUUAAUUUUUCUGUAAUUUAAUUACACUUCUGAUGCAAUUGCAUUAAAUACUAUAGAACAAUUCUAAAACAAUAGUGGAUUUAACAUCAAAUUUUAAAGGGUUAGUUCACCCAAAAAUGAAAAUAAUGUCAUUUA